AGUAGGCCUCGAGCGGUUUCUUGAAAACUAGCUUCGGAUAUGAAACUUUGAGUAUUCAUGAAGGUCAAGGAAGUUGGUGACCCGAUGACAGGGGAGCCGGCGACCGAAGCCCCGGUGAACGGCGGCCGUAACUAUAACGGUCCUAAGGUAGCGAAAUUCCUUGUCGGGUAAGUUCCGACCCGCACGAAAGGCGUAACGAUCUGGGC
rfam:Helianthus annuus linkage group 17, whole genome shotgun sequence.